rnacentral:pre_miRNA from 1 species
ACAACAUUCGGAGCGGUGGUCUACCGAGCAAUUUAACCAGCUCGGUCUAAGAUCUUCCCUUUGUCGU